GAUACAAAUGGAGUCAAUUUGUGUCCCUUUCCAUUCAUUCUGAAAAGAAAUAUACAGUCCUAUUCUUUUCAGCUUUUAAUCUACAUUGUUUUAUGUUUCAAAAGAAUUGCCUUCUAAUGUUCCUGAUCCUAUUAUCCAGUAUCAGGAACCUUAGAAGUUGUCCUGGGUGCAACUGUGUUGAUGCUAGCAAUAUACUCAUUGGCCCUGAUUUUAUUUUUACAACAAUUUCUCUGGAUAAUCCUAUUGAUAUGUAGUGAUCAUAUCUGAUUCUUUUGGUGUUUCUACACAAAUUAUUACCAUGAAGCAAGUAAACCACAAACCUUAUUUGCAUCAAGAAAAGUGAAUAAGGACUACAGGACAAAAAUCGCAGUGGAACAUGUAUAAUUACAGUGAACCAUUAAGGACAUGCUAUCCAUUCAUAGAUACAAUUAUGCCUCUUUCUCUUUCUCUCUUUCUCAACAAACCAAAUGGUUUGAUGCAUGCAUCAUUGAAGAAUUGUGCCUACUUCUUAAAAUCUUGGAUUUUAUAUUAGUACUCUUCAGUCUGAUCAUGACCAUUUUCUUUGAAAUCGAUUCUUUGGGUUAUCUAAAUUACAGAUAUACUGGGUUUAUACCAGUUCUCUGUCAUGGCUUCCCCAAUGAAUUCUGGGAGUUUUUGCUGAAAAUUUAUUCGAGAUCCCCAGUCCGCCCCAGAGCUACAAUUCCUAGGUUCCUUGGAAAGAGGUGCCUCAUAUGCAUGCUCUGAAGGAAAUGCUGGAUAUUUCCUCUCUCUCCCCUACUCAUAUCCAACAGUUGUAUUAUAUCUGGGUGAUCCUGUGUACUCAUUUCCGCAUCUGGACAGAGAGCAAAUGGGAAAACUUCAAAGGUGGAAUAUAGAGCAUUGAAGCUAAAGGUUGAAUUCUUUUCCUUCUUUCUUUUUUACAUUUGUGUGACAGAUUUACUUCGAUUAUGGAGUGGAGGUGGAGAAUCUAAAGGCAAAACAAGUUUCAGCACAGUGAAAAAGUGGGGGAAAUGUAUUAAGGUGACAUGGGCUCCAGUGUCAACAUCAGAGAUCCACAGUCUAGUCGCCCAAUUAAGACCGGGGAAGGCUCCAGGGUGACCUCUCUUUAUGCCGCCUUUAUCGAUCUCAAGGUAGCAUCGACUCCAUCUCACAUGUCAAAUUAUGGGAGAAGUUGGAAACCUCCUCCAUUGACCGGAGCCUGUUAUACCUUCUUCGCACCCUGCAUGUAGACACAUCACUCAAGGUGAGAUGUAGCCCCCAAGGCUACCUCACAAGAGCUGUUCCAACUCAGAAGGGCAUCAAACAAGGAUGCAUUUGGGCCCCAGUCCUCUUCAACUUCUACAUCAACUCUAUGGUGGGUCAGCUCAGCGACCCACCCUCUGUGGGGAGACACAUUGCCAUCAUAUGCGGAUGAUGCAGCCAUCCUCUCAAGGACUCCCAUUGGCCUUAGAAGUGCACCGAGGGCCCUGACAUUGCACUGCAGAAAGGACUGCCUGGAAAUCAACUUUCACAAAACUAAAAUUAUGGCCUUUGCCAGGAGGCCAAAGACCCACUCUUGGUGGAUUGAGGGACAUAAGAUUGAGCAAGUUGAAGACUUUAAAUACUUGCAAGUAGUUUUUCAUUUUGGUGGCUCUAGGAAAGCUCAUGGAGAACACAUGGCUCUAAAUGCCCAGAGAAGUUCCUCUGCCAUUCUCAAAUUCCUCCUGACAAGAGGAGGCCAUUACGUACCUGCGGCUCUUGAACUGUUCACAGCCAAGGCAAUCAGCUCCUCUAUCGUGCUCAGUUGGGCCCUUUCCCCAACAUUGUGACUCUCGAACUUGUUAAUCUAAAUUCCUGAGGGCAGCGCUCCAAGUACUGAGAUGUGUCUCCAAUGCCACUCUGCACCUGGAGACAGGCUUGGAGUUGGAGGCUAGGGUGUGGGUGGCCAUUCUCUGAUAUUGACUCAGACUAUCCUUUUGUCCAAUUGAUCUUGCCCCUCUAACCAAUCUAGUUGGAUUCAGACAAUUGAGAAAAAAAUAGCUACUCUGGGCCUUUCCCCCUCGACCUUGCUCAACAUGGGCUACGAUCAGGCAAAACCAACCAUUAAGCAGUGCAUUAUAGACAUCGAGUGCCAAACUGAUCCCAGCAGAGUUCCAAAAUUUCAUAUAAGUGAUGGACGUAGAUAUUUUGCUUCUCCAGCAGCAUACCUCACCCAACUGGAGGUUCCAAAGCACAGAAGGGCAUUCACUUUGGCUCACUGUCAUGGCUUCCCUUCAGCAGUGCUAGAAGGCUGUUAUAGAAGGACCCCAUUUGCAGAGCAACUAUGCCCCUGUGGCUUACAGCAGAUUGAAACUACUGCGCAUGUUCUCCUAUACUGCUCAUUCUGUAGAGACGUACAUUCCUCUCUCAUCCUUCCACUGCUAAGCAAGUAUCCAGGUCGUCCGAGCCAAUUCUACAGCUUCUUGCUACUCUCUGACUCUAAGCCUGCCAUCCCAUAUAGCAUCGACAGGUACUGUGUUGCUGCGAUCAGCAUUCAUCAGUGGAUGACGAGCAGUGAGUCCUAUCAACCUUAAUUUGACUCCCGGCAACGCUGGGCAGGCCCUGCAAUUGCUCACGUGCCUUCCUUUUUACUGUGCCUCAUAACUCUUAAUCUGGCUGUUUUCUAGUUUUAUUAUUUUAUAUAUUUCUGUUUUCUUAUGCCUUUUAACCUUAUUACAACUGUAUGCCCCCCCUAUGCCUUUUAUGCCUUUUUAUGACUUUUACUAUUUCUCAGGUGUGAUUCUGUUUUACUAUUUUUAGUAUUUUUAGCCCUUUUAGUAUUAAUAUGUACCAUUUCAUAUGUAAUCACUUUUAUCUGCUCUCACUCUUAACUUGUAAUCACCCUUAAACUUUAUGCUGGUCUGUGACCAUAAUAAAGAUUGAUUGAUUGAU